rnacentral:rRNA from 1 species
CAGCCGCCGCGGUAAUACGUAGGGUGCAAGCGUUAAUCGGAAUUACUGGGCGUAAAGCGUGCGCAGGCGGUUAUAUAAGACAGAUGUGAAAUCCCCGGGCUCAACCUUGGAACUGCAUUUGUGACUGUAUAGCUAGAGUACGGCAGAGGGGGAUGGAAUUCCGCGUGUAGCAGUGAAAUGCGUAGAUAUGCGGAGGAACACCGAUGGCGAAGGCAAUCCCCUGGGCCUGUACUGACGCUCAUGCACGAAAGCGUGGGGAGCAAACAGGAUUAGAUACCCCAGUAGUCCCUGUCUCUUAUAC